AGAGCGAACGCUGGCGGCAGGCUUAACACAUGCAAGUCGAGCGGGCGUAGCAAUACGUCAGCGGCAGACGGGUGAGUAACGCGUGGGAACGUACCUUUUGGUUCGGAACAACCCAGGGAAACUUGGGCUAAUACCGGAUAAGCCCUUACGGGGAAAGAUUUAUCGCCGAAAGAUCGGCCCGCGUCUGAUUAGCUAGUUGGUGAGGUAAUGGCUCACCAAGGCGACGAUCAGUAGCUGGUCUGAGAGGAUGAUCAGCCACAUUGGGACUGAGACACGGCCCAAACUCCUACGGGAGGCAGCAGUGGGGAAUAUGGACAAUGGGCGCAAGCCUGAUCCAGCCAUGCCGCGUGAGUGAUGAAGGCCCUAGGGUUGUAAAGCUCUUUUGUGCGGGAAGAUAAUGACGGUACCGCAAAGAAUAAGCCCGGCUAACUUCGUGCCAGCAGCCGC
rnacentral:rRNA from 1 species